rnacentral:rRNA from 1 species
ACAACGGAGAGUUUGAUCCUGGCUCAGAACGAACACUGGCGGCGUGGUUUAGGCAUGCAAGUCGAACGUGAAAGUUUCCUUCGGGAAAUGAGUAAAGUGGCGAACGGGUGAGUAACGCGUGGGAAACCUUCCCUUCGUUGGGGGAUAACAGUUCUAACGAGCUGCUAAUACCGCAUACGACCUUUGGAUCGCAUGGUCUGGAGGUGAAAGGGGGCGCCCUCUUCGGAGAGCUCCCGACGAUGGAUGGUCCCGCGUCCCAUUAGCUAGUUGGCGGGGUAAUGGCCCACCAAGGCGACGAUGGGUAGCCGGCCUGAGAGGGUGUCCGGCCACACUGGGACUGAGAUACGGCCCAGACUCCUACGGGAGGCAGCAGUCGAGAAGCUUCGGCAAUGGGCGAAAGCCUGACCGAGCGACGCCGCGUGAGCGAAGAAGGCCCUAUGGGUUGUAAAGCUCUGUCAGAUUGGGAAGAAAACCUCGUGAUUAAUACCUGCGAGGCUUGACGGUACCAUCAGAGGAAGCACCGGCUAACCCCGUGCCAGCAGCCGCGGUAAUACGGGGGGUGCAAGCGUUGUUCGGAUUCACUGGGUAUAAAGGGUGCGCAGGCGGCCUGUUAAGUCAGAGGUGAAAUCUGUCGGCUCAACCGACAGACUGCCCCUGAAACUGACAGGCUUGAGUCCGGGAGAGGAAGGUGGAAUUCCAGGUGUAGCGGUGAAAUGCGUAAAUAUCUGGAGGAACACCGGUGGCGAAGGCGGCCUUCUGGCCCGGAACUGACGCUCAGGCACGAAAGCUAGGGGAGCGAACGGGAUUAGAUACCCCGGUAGUCCUAGCCGUAAACGAUGGGUACUAGGUGUUGGAGGAUUCUACCCCUUCAGUGCCGCAGCUAAUGCAUUAAGUACCCCACCUGGGGAGUACGAUCGCAAGGUUGAAACUCAAAGGAAUUGACGGGGGCCCGCACAAGCGGUGGAGCAUGUGGUUUAAUUCGAUGCAACGCGAAGAACCUUACCUAGGCUUGACAUGCAGGGGACAGGUGUAGAAAUACAUCCUUCCUUCGGGACCCUUGCACAGGUGCUGCAUGGCUGUCGUCAGCUCGUGUCGUGAAAUGUUGGGUUAAGUCCCGCAACGAGCGCAACCCCUGUCUUUAGUUGCCAUCAGGUUAUGCUGGGGACUCUAGGGAGACUGCCGGUGACAAACCGGAGGAAGGUGGGGAUGACGUCAAGUCAUCAUGGCCCUUACGCCUAGGGCUACACACGUGCUACAAUGGUCGGUACAAAGGGCAGCAAUACCGUGAGGUGGAGCAAAUCCCAAAAAGCCGGCCUCAGUUCGGAUCGAAGUCUGCAACUCGACUUCGUGAAGUUGGAAUCGCUAGUAAUCGCGUAUCAGAACGACGCGGUGAAUACGUUCCCGGGGUUUGUACACACCGCCCGUCAAGUCAACCGAGUUGGCUGCACCCCAAGUCGCUGAGCUAACCCCGUAAGGGGAGGCAGGUGCCCAAGGUGUGGUUAGCGAGGGGGACUAAGUCGUAACAAGGUAGCCGUAUCGGAAGGUGCGGCUGGAUCACCUCCUUU